AUGCUUUUCUUAGGUGUUCUUGACCUCUUCUUGCUUCCAGUUACAUUUUCUGCAGAGUCCAGUUUCUGCUUUGGAGUUUGGUUAAACAAUUUGAUGCCUUCAUCAUCACCUCCUGGUUCUCCGUAUGAGUGUGUGCUUUCCCUCAGUGUUUGGGUGGGCUUCCUGAAAGCUGAGGGCUCUUCUUCUAGGUCCAAUUUCUGGAGAGGGAUCUCAAGCUGCCUCCUUCUACUUGUUGGUGUGUUGAAUGGUUCAGCUAAUGGAGAUUUGCAGGGUAUGUUGGUGGUUUUGCCAUCAGUCAUUGGGUCCUGGGUGUGCUCUGGGGUUUGGAAGAGCUCUCUGAUGCCAGCCAGGUCUUCUAAGGACUGGAUGCUUUUCUUAGGUGUUCUUGACCUCCUCUUGCUUCUAGUUACAUUUUCUGCAGAGUACAGUUUCUGUUUUGGGGUAUCCUUAAACCUUUUGAUGAACUCAUCAUCACCUCCUGGUUCUUUAUGUGAGUGUGUGUUUUUCCCCAGCGUUUGGGUGGGCUUCCUGAGAGCUGAGGGCUCUUCUUCUGGGUCUACUUUCUGGAGAGGGGUAUUGAUCUGCCUUCUUCUACUUGGUGUGUUGACUGGUUCUGCUAGUGGAGAUUUGCAGGGUACGCUGGUGGCUUUGCCAUCAGCCAUUGCUUUAUCUGUUUGGUUUGGUGUUUGCAAGAGCUCUCCGAGGCCAGCCAGGUCUUCUAAGGACCGGAUGCUUUUCUUAGGUGUUCUUGACCUCUUCUUGCUUCCAGUUACAUUUUCUGCAGAGUCCAGUUUCUGCUUUGGAGUUUGGUUAAACAAUUUGAUGCCUUCAUCACCACCUCCUGGUUCUCCGUGUGAGUGUGUGCUUUCCCUCGGUGUUUGGGUGGGCUUCCUGAAAGCUGAGGGCUCUUCCUCUAGGCUUACUUUCUGGACAGGGGUCUUGAUCUGCCUCUUUCUGAUUGUUGGUGUAUUGACUGGAUCUGCUAGUGGAGAUUUGCAGGGUACUUUGGUGGUUUUGUCAUCAGCCAUUGGUUUAUCUGUUUGGUUUGGUGUUUUAAAGAGCUCUCUGAAGCCAGCCAGGUCUUCUAAAGACUGGAUGUUUUUCUUAGGUGUUCUUGACCUCCUCUUCCUCUUGCUUCCUGUUACAUUUUCUGCAGAGUUCAGUUUCUGCUUUGGGGUAUCCUUGAACCUUUUGAUGCCUUCAUCAUCACCUCCUGGUUCUUUAUGUGAGUGUGUGCUUUCCCCCAGCAUUUGGGUGGGCUUCCUGAGAGCUGAGGGCUCUUCCUCUAAGCCUACUUUCUGGAGAGAGGUCUUGAUCUGCCUCCUACUUGGUGUAUUGACUGGAUCUGCUAGUGGAGAUCUGCAGGGAACUUUGGUGGUUUUGUCAUCAGCCACUGGUUUAUCUGUUUGGUUUGGUGUUUGCAAGAGCUCUCUGAGGCCAACCAGGUCUUCUAAGGACUGGGCAGUUUUCUUAGGUGUUCUUGACCUUCUCUUGCUUCCAGUUACAAUUUCUGCAAAGUCCAGUUUCUGUUUUGGAGUUUGGUUAAAUAAUUUGAUGUCUUCAUCAUCACCAUCUCCUGGUUCUCUGUGUGAGUGUGUGCUUUCCCUCGGUGUUUGGGUGUGCUUCCUGAAAGCUGAGGGCUCUUCCUCUAGGCCUACUUUCUGGAGAGGGGUCUUGAUUUGCCUCUUUCUGAUUGUUGGUGUAUUGACUGGAUCUACUAGUGGAGAUUUGCAGGGGUACUUUGGUGGAGAUCAGGGCAAUAGUAGAAGCAAAGGAGGAGAACAUGAGAAGGGCCGUGUCUUGGGCAGAGACUUGGCUGAUAGAGGACAGGAGACACGGCAGAGAUGUUGAUGGAGCAUCUCUUGCCAAUGGGGUGUGCUGUGUCCCUUGAGAGGGAGACAAGGUGGUGUGGGGGUGACUCUGGCCUCCCCUCCAUCGGACCUGGUCUUGGACAAGACUAUCUGAGGUCAGAACAUCCUUCUCCUGCCUUUCUCCACAGAGUGGUGAUGACCAGCCAGAGGCUGCAGAGGAAACCACAGGGGUCCAAGCCAAGGAGACUUCAGAUGGAGAUGAGCCAGGGGGGAUCGUCCUGAAAGCCACUUAG
rnacentral:lncRNA from 1 species